GGAAGUAGUCGUGCCUUCAAAUACGAGUGAGGGGAGUGGCUCUGUAAGCACGUGCUCACUUGAGUGGCGCGUCCACGCGGAGGAGGAGGAGACCGAGCAGCGUGAGAGGUGAGAUGGGACUUCCUGUCGGAGCCCAGGUGUGUCAGCUGCACUGGAUUGAACAACUUGUGUCAUCAUCAGGACCUCACCACCCCGCCUCCAUCCCCCACCCCCGAUCUGUACUGGGCAAACUCUGGCUCCUACAAGACUACGACUGUUUCAUCUCCGUUUCUGGAUCGUGGGAGGAAGUGGAGACGCAUCGCACCGUCUAUUUUUAACAUUGCUAAAAUAACGUUAAACGUGUUGCAGGGAGGAUUGUUAGUUUUCCCGACCUGAUUCCAUCAUCUUGCUCUGCGGCCCAGUUUCGCCUCCAUCAUUGUUCUUACUGAGAGAAUUAGUGACAUUGAUUAGACAGUCUUUACACUUGUCCCACCUCUAAACGCAGCAGCUAAUCUCUGGGCUCUGGUGGAGAUGACACAAGUUUCUCAAGGCCGUACCUCUGGAAAGGCACUUUUCAAAGAAGUAGGAGGCUGCAAUAGAUCAUUUUGUGUCCUGUCCAGAGUAAUUUGUCCUGACCUGUCUUGUAACGUUAGAUGGCUACUGCACCCUGCUGAGUCCUGAGCUCUUUGUUUUUGUCAUUUUGUCCCCUGUCUGCAAGUGUCCUUGUACUUUGUGCUAUGAAAGUUAUGUAAUUAAUGUUGAUAAUCACAAAGUGUCAGAGCUUCUGAAUCAGCAUUUAUUUAAUCACUAUUAAAUAAACGUUUCACCAUAAAUUCAGUCAAGUAGAGAUGAAUAUAAUUAUGGAAAUAUCAGAAGUUAAACCUUUAUCAAAGUUAUGAGACAUGAUUAAAAAAAAGAGAAAUUAAAAAAUGUACUUGUUCAAUGCUGUAAAUCCUGAAAUGUGUAU